rnacentral:rRNA from 1 species
AACGAACGCUGGCGGCAUGCCUAACACAUGCAAGUCGAACGAGACCUUCGGGUCUAGUGGCGCACGGGUGCGUAACGCGUGGGAACCUGCCCUUAGGUUCGGAAUAACUCCCCGAAAGGGGUGCUAAUACCGGAUAAUGUCUUCGGACCAAAGAUUUAUCGCCUUUGGAUGGGCCCGCGUUGGAUUAGCUAGUUGGUAGGGUAAAAGCCUACCAAGGCGACGAUCCAUAGCUGGUCUGAGAGGAUGAUCAGCCACACUGGGACUGAGACACGGCCCAGACUCCUACGGGAGGCAGCAGUGGGGAAUAUUGGACAAGGGGCGAAAGCCUGAUCCAGCAAUGCCGCGUGAGUGAUGAAGGCCUUAGGGUUGUAAAGCUCUUUUACCCGGGAUGAUAAUGACAGUACCGGGAGAAUAAGCUCCGGCUAACUCCGU